rnacentral:rRNA from 1 species
CUACGGGGGGCUGCAGUGGGGAAUAUUGCACAAUGGGGGAAACCCUGAUGCAGCAACGCCGCGUGAGUGAAGAAGUAUUUCGGUAUGUAAAGCUCUAUCAGCAGGGAAGAUAAUGACGGUACCUGACUAAGAAGCCCCGGCUAACUACGUGCCAGCAGCCGCGGUAAUACGUAGGGGGCAAGCGUUAUCCGGAUUUACUGGGUGUAAAGGGAGCGUAGGCGGCUUGGUAAGUCUGAUGUGAAAGCCCAGGGCUCAACCCUGGGACUGCAUUGGAAACUGUCAGGCUAGAGUGCAGGAGAGGUAAGUGGAAUUCCUAGUGUAGCGGUGAAAUGCGUAGAUAUUAGGAGGAACACCAGUGGCGAAGGCGGCUUACUGGACUGUAACUGACGCUGAGGCUCGAAAGCGUGGGGAGCAAACAGGAUUAGAUACCCGCGUAGUC